UACGUAGGGUGCAAGCGUUAAUCGGAAUUACUGGGCGUAAAGCGCACGUAGGCGGCUUUGUAAGUUAGAGGUGAAAGCCCGGGGCUCAACUCCGGAACUGCCUUUAAGACUGCAUCGCUUGAAUCCAGGAGAGGUGAGUGGAAUUCCGAGUGUAGAGGUGAAAUUCGUAGAUAUUCGGAAGAACACCAGUGGCGAAGGCGGCUCACUGGACUGGUAUUGACGCUGAGGUGCGAAAGCGUGGGGAGCAAACAGG
rnacentral:rRNA from 1 species